AGUAAAAUAGGUGAUGAGACACCAUAUUGGACUUGAAAUCCGAUUCUAUUGCAAAUGUGCAAGUUUUAUUA
rnacentral:tRNA from 1 species